UCGCCAGACUCCUACGGGAGGCAGCAGUGAGGAAUAUUGGUCAAUGGUCGGGAGACUGAACCAGCCAAGCCGCGUGAGGGAGGAAGGUACAGAGUAUCGUAAACCUCUUUUGUCAGGGAACAAAGACUGGGACGCGUCCCCGGAUGAGUGUACCUGAAGAAAAAGCAUCGGCUAACUCCGUGCCAGCAGCCGCGGUAAUACGGAGGAUGCGAGCGUUAUCCGGAUUUAUUGGGUUUAAAGGGUGCGCAGGCGGUCUGUUAAGUCAGCGGUCAAAGCCCGGGGCUCAACCCCGCGGACUGCUUUUGAAACUGUCAGGCUGGAGUACAGGAGAGGUAAGCGGAAUUCCUAGUGUAGCGGUGAAAUGCGUAGAUAUUAGGAGGAACACCAGUGGCGAAGGCGGCUUACUGGACUGUAACUGACACUGAGGCACGAAAGCGUGGGGAGCAAACAGGAUUAGAUACCCGCGUA
rnacentral:rRNA from 1 species